GGAAGGAUCAUUACCGAGUGAGGGCCUCUGGGUCCAACUCCCACCCGUGUUUAUUUUACCUUGUUGCUUCGGGCGGGCCCGCUUAACUUGGCCGCCGGGGGGCUUACGCCCCCGGGCCCGCGCCCGCCGAAGACACCCUCGAACUCUGUCUGAAGAUUGAAGUCUGAGUGAAAAUAUAAAUUAUUUAAAACUUUCAACAACGGAUCUCUUGGUUCCGGCAUCGAUGAAGAACGCAGCGAAAUGCGAUACGUAAUGUGAAUUGCAAAUUCAGUGAAUCAUCGAGUCUUUGAACGCACAUUGCGCCCCCUGGUAUUCCGGGGGGCAUGCCUGUCCGAGCGUCAUUGCUGCCCUCAAGCCCGGCUUGUGUGUUGGGCCCCGUCCCCCGAUCUCCGGGGGACGGGCCCGAAAGGCAGCGGCGGCACCGCGUCCGGUCCUCGAGCGUAUGGGGCUUUGUCACCCGCUCUGUAGGCCCGGCCGGCGCUUGCCGAUCAACCCAAAUUUUUAUCCAGGUUGACCUCGGAUCAGGU
rnacentral:rRNA from 1 species